GGUAGUCCACGCCGUAAACGAUGUCGACUUGGAGGUUGUGCCCUUGAGGCGUGGCUUCCGGAGCUAACGCGUUAAGUCGACCGCCUGGGGAGUACGGCCGCAAGGUUAAAACUCAAAUGAAUUGACGGGGGCCCGCACAAGCGGUGGAGCAUGUGGUUUAAUUCGAUGCAACGCGAAGAACCUUACCUACUCUUGACAUCCAGAGAACUUAGCAGAGAUGCUUUGGUGCCUUCGGGAACUCUGAGACAGGUGCUGCAUGGCUGUCGUCAGCUCGUGUUGUGAAAUGUUGGGUUAAGUCCCGCAACGAGCGCAACCCUUAUCCUUUGUUGCCAGCGGUUAGGCCGGGAACUCAAAGGAGACUGCCAGUGAUAAACUGGAGGAAGGUGGGGAUGACGUCAAGUCAUCAUGGCCCUUACGAGUAGGGCUACACACGUGCUACAAUGGCGCAUACAAAGAGAAGCGACCUCGCGAGAGCAAGCGGACCUCAUAAAGUGCGUCGUAGUCCGGAUUGGAGUCUGCAACUCGACUCCAUGAAGUCGGAAUCGCUAGUAAUCGUAGGUCAGAAUGCUACGGUGAAUACGUUCCCGGGCCUUGUACACACCGCCCGUCACACCAUGGGAGUGGGUUGCAAAAGAAGUAGGUAGCUUAACCUUCGGGAGGGCGCUUACCACUUUGUGAUUCAUGACUGGGGUGAAGUCGUAACAAGGUAACCGUAGGGGAACCUGC
rnacentral:rRNA from 1 species